UACGUAGGGUGCGAGCGUUGUCCGGAAUUAUUGGGCGUAAAGAGCUUGUAGGCGGUUUGUCGCGUCUGCUGUGAAAAUCCGGGGCUCAACCCCGGACUUGCAGUGGGUACGGGCAGGCUAGAGUGUGGUAGGGGAGACUGGAAUUCCUGGUGUAGCGGUGAAAUGCGCAGAUAUCAGGAGGAACACCGGUGGCGAAGGCGGUUCUCUGGGACGGUACUGACGCUGAGACGCGAAAGCGUGGGGAGCGAACAGG
rnacentral:rRNA from 1 species